CUCUCCUUAACACACUGUAUUUUUAAGAUGUUUUACUGAGACUUCACACCGAUUUUAUCGGCCUUAUCGGUAUCGGCCGAUAAUUACCAUUUUAUGCUGAUCGGCUUUAAUGACAUAAUUCGCCCGGCUCCGCAAAAGACAUUUACUCCGCGUCGCCGCGUGCGCAGUAUAUUUGAAUCCAAAAGCUGGUUUAUUUUUAGCCUCGUCGAGUGUGUUUUGACGUAGUAUUGGAAAUAUCUGACGACCAAUAGCUAUUUAAAAAAAAAACCCAAAAAACAUGUCGGCGGUGUGGAACAGAACACGUAAUGCCCGGAUCAGACUACAAGACAAAUUUGCUCUUUCACGAUUGCACUAUGUCAGACAACUGCAAUAAAAUCUUCUAUUCCGAUACCACCACAUCCCGUUUUUUUCCGAUCACUGGCCUUCAUCGUGCCAACGCAAACGCGACCGGAUACGCUCGUUACCAUGGCGACGACAACAACAACGGAUCGCGCCGUGGACGUGAACAUGCCGCCGUACUGUCGACUCAUGCUCUAAAGUUUUGGUGUGGGUGAAGUAAUUUAAUUAAAAAUAAAGUAAUUUAAUUACAGUAAGUUGGCACCCAUUAUUUCUGUCAUGUAAUGUUGGUUUGUAUUAGUUUUACUGUAUACUCUCAGGGUGACUUAACACUAGGCAAUCCGUGCAGUGCUUGGGACCCAGUUAACUUUUGGACACCUCAAGUCCAGUAUAUUUGACUAGUGUGAGUGGUCUGAUCCGGACUCAAGUUGGGCACACUUCCCUCUAUCUGGGACGCUCUGAAGAGGUGAGCAAGACCGGUCAUGGCAUAAUUGGUCAUGGAGACGGACUUGCACACAUAAAAUUACUGUAAUGUGAUCGCGAAUCACAAUGUUUAAUGAUAACCACCACUAGCAAAAAGUUAUAGAUAGGAAAAGUACCGUAAUUUCUCAUGUAUAAUGCGCAAUUCCCCCCCCCCCCCACCCACCCACUCAAAGUCAAUAGUGUGCAUUAUACAUGGGUAUAGGGGGAAAUGAAAAAAAUCACGUUUUAUAAUGCCAUCUAGAGGUUAUGAAAAAGCUGUACACUUUCAUCCCAAUAUGCCACUGCCCCCUAGAGGUUAUGAAAAAGUUGUACACUUUCAUUCUAGUAUGCCACCUAGAGGUUAUGAAAAAGGUGUAGCCUACACUUUCAUUUCAGUAUGACAGGGGUACAUAUGACUGCAUAGAUGCACAAUUCUGCUCAUAAAUUUAUAUACCCAGGCAGAAUCUGUGAAAUAUGUAUUUAUUUAUUAAAUACGACUGAUGACUGAACAACAACCAUCAUUAAUUUCUUUAUUGUUGUGUUUUGUUUAAUGAUAAUGCUUUUCUGAAAUGCUUGACAGUUUAAUUUGAAUUCCAUUAAAAUAAAAUUAAAUAUCUUUCACCUGGUCCUUCAUGUUUUCUGUGAAGAGUUGUACCCAUCUUACAAAUUCUGCCUGGGUAAUCCAACAUGGGAGCACAACUGUGUGUUCUCUUAUUUACUAAAUAAAAGCAGGGCUGUGAAUUUCAAAAUAAGAGCUAGCAAAUAAAAAGAAAGUAUUACGUGUUCAAAUAAAGUGCUUAACUUCAGAAUAAUUCUUUGAAAACACAAAGAAAAUACAGAUAAUACUUCAUAUUUUGAUCAUAUGGGUAGACGCGAAAUCAUGCAUUGUAUAAAUGCAUUAUACAUCGGUAGAAGGGUUUUCCAGAAUUUUGAGGUCAAUUUUUGGUGUGCGGAUUAUACACGAGAGAUUACGGUAUUUUAACUCUGACAAAAUACGUUUCAAAAAAAUUACUUCCUGGGUACAUGGGUACCACCUAGGUCAUAUAAUUGAUGUGAUCCCCUCUCUCUUCAGUUGGUAAGGUUGACAGCCAAGUCAGGAAAGUUGCACUUAACUCAUUCCCUGCCAAUGCCGUCAAAAGACGUCAUUCAAAAUCCAUCUAUUCCCUGCCAAUGCCGUCUAAAGACGUCAAUGGCGUUUUUUAACGGGGAUGGAUGGGGGAGGGUCUUGUGCAGUUUGUGUGAUUGUUGAGCCUCCGGAUAACUGCAAUGAGGAUCGGCACCCUGUAGAGGGGAACAAUGCCUUGAGGUAAACGUCCCUCCCUAAGAGGAAGAAGAGGAAGAAUAAGGAGGGGCCGGGGUGCAAGAGACAAUGAGUAAAGGCAAAUAUAAUGGCGGCAAAGAGAAUACAAAAUGAAAAAAAAUCUAACAAAACUAGAAACUUCGGAACUAGAAAUUUAUUGCGCCAAGGCAAAAAAAUAUAUUCCUGCGACCGACAGGAAUGACGCCUUAGAUCACGCGGGGGAAUAAAAGACGACGCUCCAAGCCAGAAUGGCGCUCCGAGAGAUCGCUUUGCUGCAAAGCUAGUGGCCAAAAUGCCGGGCCAAAUGGCGACAUCCUCGGCCGCUUGCCAGCUGAUCGUCUGCCGACCAGGAUUUGAGUAACUGGGAUCCGGAGUCGUCAGAUGAGUGAACGCCCUCUGGAUCGCCAGCCGAGCUUCAUCCCUCCGGAUGACAUGGAGACAAAGGAAUUCAACACCCGCAAGUCUUUUACGAUGGCGAUGAAGAAAAGUUAUGCACCCAGCAGACGUUCGACCCCCGUUCCAGUAAGCAGUGCAGACAAAAGAGGUUGGGCUUCGACCAGAAGUAGGGACUGGUUUCAAGGACGAUGACAGCCACACAAGACCGCCACCAAAGAAUAAAAUCCAGAUGUGGAUAAAACUUUGCUAGAUUUUAUGCGGAAGGUAAUAAAAACCUGGACUAUUGAGCAAACUGUAGAGGAGGAGAAUUUGGAGAAAGAAAAGUGCAAGUGUGGGAGCCCCAUUUUUUCAUGCAUUUUUGUCUCAUGUAAAUUCUGUACAUAGUUAUUCUUGUAAAUAAAUACAUUUUCUGUCAAAAGUAGUUUCUCAGUGUUGUUUUAUGUUCAGAGGUUUGAGAUUUUCACGAAAGAACAAAAAAUAUCGGCGUCAAAGUCAUUGUUCUGCUUGAUGCGUCUGCUUUCACAAAAAGGCUGUUUUCUCAGUUUUUCUCCCUCCAGAAACAGAUUUGGCUGAAAGUAGCCAAUAUUUGACUGCUGAUUACUAAAGAACGGUAUAAG